rnacentral:snRNA from 1 species
AUUGAUUUGAAUAAAAACGUCUUUUAUCUCUUCUUAUCAGCUUAAUAUCGAAUACACUUCCCAAAGGGGAGUCAGAACAUUAACCUGAUUUUUGGAAACAGGUGGAGUCAGGGGGGCUCGCUCUUCUUUCACGACGAGUCAGUCUGCAUGGCAGUGCCGCUGACAUUGCCCCAACGGGG